UAGAGGUAACUUACCCUUUUAUGAAUUUCAAAAAAGGGCAAGUCCUUUUCUGCAUUUCAAAAAGACCCACAGUAAUGAUUAAGGCAUUCACUCGAUCACUCUCUUAUCUCUCUUGUUCUAGUGUUUUUAUUUGUUCGGCUAACCUUUCUGUCCAAGUUUGUGUUUUUUCUUGUGUUUUCUUCUCUACGAUUUCUAAUUGUGUUGCUUUGAAAACAAGGGGAGGAUCCACUGUCAUUGUCAACAAGACAUCUCUGAAAACUCUCUCUGCCUCUAAGCUUGCGUUGAGGAAGCAUGCUUUUCUUCAAUCUGUGGCUACCCCUGUCGGUGGUAGCAGCCCUGAGAUUCCCCCACUGCAAUCUACUUCAUCAAAGAAAGAAGGGAUAAGCCAGUGAAUCCUACAGUUUCUGAUAAUGGAGUUUUCUGAGUUUGAUGAAUCUGAAAAUGAUUUCCUUGAGAAUCAACCUAAGAUCGAGUCUCCACCAAUAGCUGCCUCAUCAUACCAUAAAGCGAGAUCUGCCAAACGAUAGAAAAAGGAAUCUGGUUCUGAACUGCUGGGUUAGAAUGUUGAUUGGCCAGCUAAUGCCUCCAUCAAGACUAUGGACAUAACACACAAAUACAUUAUGCUGCAUCGCUUUGCUGUCUACAGGUGGUUUCCAAUGUCUCAUACUUCCACCAUCACUAAUGAAAUGACAUUCUUUCUUCAUGAUGUUGGCACGGGGGCUCCUGUUAAUCUGGAUGAAUUCAUCUUUGACAAGAUUUUGUCUUUUAUCAAGGUUCAAACACCUACGGUAAUGCUUCUUCAUCAUUAUCUUAUUUAUAAUAUUCUGCAUGAUCAAAAGCCACUGAAGUUGGAGUCCGGGGCCUUGACACAAAUAUCUUCCGUUCCUAUGUACAAAGUCAAGGGAGAAACUGCUGAACCAUAACCUCCCAAGAAGAUCAAUCCCAAAGUUCCACCUCAUCCAUCAGUUGUUGAAGGCGCCACCUCGGUUGCUGCUGUACCUCCCCCUGUUGGAGUUGGUUUUAAUUAUGAUGUGUCAAAUGUUAACACCAGGUUUAGCUCGAAGAUGGAGAUAUUGGAGAAAUUUGUUCUGGACUAGCUUGCCAUUGUCAUUUCUAAUACCAGUAGAAAGUCCAAGGAGGAUGAAGGAAGCUCAAAUGGAGGUAGAUUCAACAAUGCUCACCUUUGAGUUAUGUUUGUUUAUGUUCUUUAAGGCUAUGUUUUUUUUUAUGUAGGGUUUUUUAUGUCUUUCCUUAUGUUUCAAGACUAUGUGUUUAGUUUUAUGGUUGUAGGUUGUAACCUUUGGCCUCUUGUUUAGAAAAAAAGGGAGAGUACAAAUGUUUCUUAUUUUCUUUUGA